rnacentral:rRNA from 1 species
ACGAACGCUGGCGGCGUGCCUAACACAUGCAAGUCAACUUGACUGAAGGAGCAAUCUGACAGUAGAGUGGACGCAAGGGUGCGUAACGCGUAAGUAACUUGCCCAAGGUAAGGAAUAACGUCGAGAAAUCGGCGCUAAUACCUCAUAAUGCAGCGGAUCCGCAUGGAUAUGUUGUUAAAGGUUUACCGCCUUGGGAUAGGCUUGCGUCUGAUUAGUUAGUUGGUGUGGUAACGGCACACCAAGGCUACGAUCAGUAACUGGUCUGAGAGGAUGAUCAGUCACACUGGAACUGAGACACGGUCCAGACUCCUACGGGAGGCAGCAGUGAGGAAUAUUGGGCAAUGCUCGAAAGAGUGACCCAGCAACGCCGCGUGGAGGAUGAAGGUAUUCUAUAUCGUAAACUCCUGUGAGAGCAGGCGAAAGACAGAUUAUUAAUCUGGAUGACUGUAUGCUCAGAGGAAGCCCCGGCUAACUACGUG